GCUCCUAUCGUUUAAUGGUUAAGGCAAUGUUUUUUCGUGACAUAAAUGUGGGUUCGAAUCCCACUAGGAGUA
rnacentral:tRNA from 1 species